rnacentral:sRNA from 1 species
UAAUUUCUUUUUACAAAAUAUCAUUCAUGGUGGUCUUCUUCUGCUCGACGAUUGUGGAUGUCGUCACGACAAGUAGGACAUGAUCGCUUGCAGCGUAGCCAGGGGAGAAUACAAUCUUUAUGAAAACUGUGAGAACAAAGCAACUUCAUGAUCCUCCUCUCACUACCUGAUGAUGCUAACUCUUCUAGACAUAUUAUGCACUCUUCUUCUAUUGGUAUUAGACAACCUUGAGAGUCAUAAUCAU